UUCAAUAUAAAUGGAGCAAUUUUAAAUUUUGACCCCUGUGUAACUCUUCAAAUGACCCCUUCCCGGCCACAUAUUGCCAAUAUGGGUGGCCGCAAC